rnacentral:lncRNA from 1 species
CUAUGUUCGGAAUCAUAGCAGGAAAGACAAGCUUAAAACUCCUAGGCCAAAAGUGUAUUUGCAGUAACUCGAGGAAAAAACCAUUCACCUUUCGUUCCCAUAUGCAUCGGCUUUUUCUAAAUCGACAUAUCUAGCCCAAGAGAUUCCUUUCUUUCGAAGUGGCAUUGCCAAAAGUAGAAUAAAAGGCUUUCAGGGGAGCUCCCCUUAGCCCAGUAGGGAAGAUCACAACUCUUCUUUCUCCUCCAUUGAAUCUUCAAAUCUCGACUAUGGCUCCAAAGAAGAAUCACA